UCCCUCGGGCUCCCUUUUGUCCCCCGUCCGUUCCUGUCUGGUCUCCACUGUCUGCUCCUCCUCCCUUCGUCCCGCCUGUGUCUGCUCCUCGUCCCUCUGUUCCUCCCCCGUUCACUCCUUUUGUUUCUCCGUUCGUUGUGCCCUCUGUCUCUCCCUUUCUUGUGUGUCUCUCUGCCUUUCCCGUUUUGUGUCAGGUUUUGUUUUGGCUUUUGCCCUUGUGUCUGUUCUGUGUGUCUGUUCUGUUCCCGGUCCCUCGUUGAUGCUUUGCUUAUGUCUCUCCAGGUCCCGUGUCCCCGGUCUCGUCACGUCUGUCGCAUCCCCUGGGGCGCGCCCGGAGUGCGCGUCUUUGGGGGGGGGGGUUCUGUCAUGCCCCGAUCGUCCGCUCCUCUCGUGUGGUACGCCCCCUCGUUAACCUCAUGUGGAUUCCCAGUGUUUUACGGCUAUUUCUGAUUGUUGUCAUUAGUUCAUUGUAUUUAGUCCGCCUUUCCGUUUGUUUCCCCAGUCCGGUCAUUGUAAUGUUACGUGUGUCUUGCAGUGUGUCGUCCCAGAAAAAAAGCCCUUUUGUUUAUAUUCACGGCAUCUGUCGCCUGCUUCCCCGUGGAACGUGACACUACUUACUGGUUUUUGUUGCAUCAGUCUGCGUCUCCCAAUUAAUUUGUGUGUUUGCCCUACAGCUCCGCACCGCCCAGCCGGCAAAAAAUGCAGCUCGUUCCCGGCUUGUAACCAGCGCGCUCUGCCAUCAAGGUGAGUAGAGUUGAUGCCGGAGAGAGCAGAAACCAAGGGGGGACGUGCUAAAUCGUGGUUGAGAGGCAGGCGAGAGUCGGUAACCGUGGAGAUCAGUCCGGGACAAGUGGACGAGACGAGGAUCUGGGGAGGGCGGAGAAGAGUAGACGAGGAAGCAGGAGACGAGGCAGGAACGAUGGAUGAGACGAGCAGGGAAGGCAGACAGGCGAUCAGGCAGAACACAGCAGGGAAGGCAGACCGGGAAGACAGGACACAGAGAAAUUGCUCUGUAAGGCACAUCACUAGAAUGGCAUCAAUACUUCGCACUGCCCGCCGGGUGGAGUGCGAUUAAAUAGCUGGGCGAUCCAAUGGUGAUCGGCCUCCGGUGCUCUGCCCCGCCCGUGUGGGCGUGACACUGUGUAAUGCCUUAAAAUUCUUCCACUGCUGCAACACUCUACUUCAGUGGGGGGUCCCUUGUUAAAUCAGAGAGCCAAACACUUUCCUUUUAUAUUCAAUACUGUUAUAUACAGAUAGUUCACAUUCAUCAUUACCUACACCAUAUUCAUUUAUAUACUGUGUGUCUGCCCUCCUGUUGUGUCACUCGUGUACUUAUCUGCACUUUACCUCUGUAAUUGUGUACAUACAGCCCCCCAUGUGUCUUAUGUUGCACCGUGGUCCUGGAGAAGCAAUGUCUCGUACCACUGUGUAUUUGUGUAUGCCUGGCAUGACCAAAAAGUCCACUUGACUUCCUUUGACUACUACCAAGCUGCAGCAAGAGAGGGGAGCAGGCCACCCCCCCCAGGCCACCACAUACCUUCGCCACCUGCUGAUCAGCAGCAGUGCAGCUAGAAUGCCAUACUGGUACACAGUAGGUUAUGAUACUGUCUAUAGUAUUGUGGUGGCAGUUGCUGUUUCAGUUUGCUAAAGAAGAAGAGGCGUUCUUGGGCCUUCUUCACAACAAAAUUGGUGUUUAGGGUCCUGACAAUCAUAAACACCUCAAACAAUCUGAAGUGGGCCAUCCUUUCAAACUUUCCCAUUGUUUGUGUGGGGGGCAGAGUGCUCCUUCCUUCUUGAUAUUGUGAAGUCCAUGAUAGCCCCAUUGGUUUUAUUAUCAUUAGGUUGUUGUUUCCAUUGAUCAUUAAAAUAUAUUUAAAAAGCAUUAAAUCGAUUUAAUGAAUUUGGCCUUAAAAGGCAUUUUAAAAGUCUUAAAUAUGAUUCCUAUAGGUAUUAAAUAUUUUUCCAAUUUAAUCAGAGUUCAGAUACAAAAUUGGUCAUAUUGAUCAAUGUUCAUUUAAAAUUUUCCAGGUGUGUGUGUUGUCAUGCCACAAGAAUAAUUAUGUGGAUCCUUAUAGCAAUAGAUAAUUGAAGAAACAAAUUAUUAUAACACGCAAUGUGGUUUUGUGCCACUCCAGCUGGAGGCCACAAUGAGAUAUAGAUGGGAAAGUGUUGUUAAUGUCCAAAAUUGUUGCAACCAGUGACUGGAAAUGACCGAGAAGCUUAUUGUGCUGUCUGCAAGUAGGUGUUCGGGCUAGACACAAAGGAUUUUAAUGACAUGAAGUCCCAUAUACUGAUAACCAGCUGCAAAAUGGCUAUGAAAGGUUAACAGUGGGACCUCAUUUAUCAAACCUUGUGUAAAUUUCAUCAUCAAAGAAUUGAUUUAACUCUCAUUUAACACUGCCUAUCCCCCUGAAAUGUGUGAUUGACGCAACUCACCCCUCCCCCCAACCCCCUCAGCCCCGGGUCCCGGAGCUCACUAUUUUUCAAACCCUGGCUACAGCCCUGCUCCCAGUCACCUCACACCGCAUCAGGAACUAGUAUGUUCCUUUAGGACAGCUGUUCACAAGGUAUUUCUUUCAGUCAUCCAUCAUCGACUGCCCCUGUUAUAACUGUUUUGGACAUUGUCGGUAGUGUUUUUUGUUGAUUGUUACUAUUGCUAUCAGGGAUCUGGAAAAGGAUUUUGUGUAGAUGAUUUUGCUAUAUUGUGGGUUUUUGGAUACAUCUGCAUUAUUUGAACAUUAAAGGUUUUCAAUAAUAGGGUAUUUUGGAAUUACAUACAGUGAAGGACAUAAUUAUUUUACCCCCUGCUGAAUUCUUAAAUUGACCCAUUAAUAAAGAAAUGAGAAGUCUGUAACUUCACUGGUAAGUUUAUUUUAACUGCAAAAGAUAGAUAGAUCAACAAAACAAGCCAGAAAAAUCAUUAUUUAACAGUUACAAACCAAUUUGUCAUUUAUCUAGGGAAAUAAGUAUUCGAUCCCUUGGAACACAUGCUUUAGUACUUGGUGGAGUAACCAUUGUUGGCAAGCACAACUGUCAGAUGUUUCUUGUAGUUGAACACCAGGUUUGCACACAGUUCAGCAGGAAUUGUCAUCCACUCCUCUUUGCAGAUCUCCUCCAAAUCUUGAAGGUUUUUAGGCUGUCACUUGGAUACAGGAAGCUUGAGUUCCCUCCAUAGGUCAUCUAUGGGAUUAAGGUCCGGAGACUGGCUGGGGCACUCCAUGACCUUAAUCUGCGUCUUCUUGAAGCAGCUUACAGUUGUUGUCUUGCUGGAAGACCCA